CUUCGAAGUUGGCACCCGUCUCGCCCCCUAUACUUCCACUUCCUCGGUCCCUAUUUUGGAGGAAUACGAGUGCUGAACGCCAUCCUUAUACUGCCGCAGUGCGAUCCGGAAGCCAAUCUGCCAUCACGAGUAGUUCCCGUUGCCAUUAAUUCCUUUUCCUUUCUCUCUUACCUCUCCGAUCUUGGAUCUUGGUCUUGGCACUUGUUGUGGAUUCAUCUGGACUUGAGGACGAAGAAAGCGCGAUGGGGGCGGGUGACGGGCUCGUGGAAAUCCAGCCUGAAGAACUUAGAUUUACAUGGACGAAUUAUGUGUCUUCAUCGACUGCGUAUGAUGGGUUGUUUCAUGAUCUGAUAGUCUUCUGGGAAAUUGUCUUGAUAUGUAUGGAUUACAAAUGGCUGGAGUUCAAGGCUUCUACUUUAAACAAUGGGGCUGUGAAAGAGGAGCCAAUUCAUGAAAAGCCUAUGUCUAAAGAGACUGACAUUUCAAGUGACCAAGCACUGAGUGGACUAGCGGAUUACAACUCAACUCAUGUUGCUAAAGAUAUUGAUGAGUUUAAACUGAAGCUCAACAGCCUUGAAGUGAAGCUAAAUGAUGUUUGUUAGUUUUAGUAUGCUGGUUAUAUUAAUCUGGUGCCUUUGUUUAGUGUUAUUUAUAAUGUUUCUUAUUGCAUCAUGUAGCUAUACUUUGGUUUUAGCAUCUAUCUCCUAAGUUUUACUUUUCCCACCUGUUUCCUGUGGUUAAGCCACACCAGAUGGCAUGCUAUUGGAUGGAGCAUGGCAAGGUAUCACUCUUGUGGCCCAUGCUACUGCCCUUCCUCUCCAAUCACCUUUUCAUUCCAUCUAUCUUGGAAUGGGUAAGUCAUGUGUUUUACUAUCUCUUGUGCACGAUGCUUAACCUCACUUUUGUCCCAUGGCAUGAUAGAGUGGAAAUUUGUUGUGUACUAUAAGGUUUAAAUAUUGGUUAGAUCGAUGUGUAUUGCCCGAUAUUUACAGGUCCAAUUAGCAAAUGAUAAUGGUACAUAUACAUUGUUAGUAUUUCGGUAUUUAUGUUUUCAUUAUUUUUUAAUGACAUUGUGUCAUGACCCAACCUAAUGGGAUAACUGACCUGUUAACUUCGUUGAGCUUGAACCAUUGAUCUAAAAUACUUAAGCUAAAAUUAUCGGUAGUACACCGAUUACUUUCUAUAUGAAACUAAUCGGGAUGUUAUAAUCUUCCCCACUUAAGGGCUUAACAUCCUCGUCUAGGCUAAAUCAAGCCUAAGCAUAGCCCAAAUCAAACCCUAGAAUGAUGCAUGUGAAGCAUAACCCAGUGGUGGCUCUAUGCCAUGAUGUGUCCUCUGACCUUGUCCAUAGGUAGCUUGUCUUACUCGAGCCCCUCACCAUGCUCCAAUGCUAGGUUGGCUCUGAUAUCAAUUGUCACGACUUGAUCUGAUGGAAUAAUUGGCUUGUUAACUUCGUUGAGCCUGAAUCACUGGCUCAAAAUGCUUAAGCUGAAGUUACUAGUGGUAUAUCUAUUGGAUCCUUAUAAGUCAAGUCUUAGCCCAUUUCCGAUGUGAGACUAAUCGGAUUGUUACAUAUUGGAUUGUAGAUGCCGGUAUAGCAUAUGUUAUACUAGUAUCUGACUGAUCUUAUAGCCGCCUAUCUGAACUGGUGUUUAGACCAUUGGUGUGCACUGUGCAGAACUAUUUAAGACCAUGAACAGUUGUGGUCAUCAUUUCAUCAUUUAAGGUUCUUCUAGUAAAUGUCUUUGAGGUACAGCCAUAAAUAAUGUUCAGAAACUGACUAUGUUUACUGCAUACAUCAUGCUCAUUUCUAACUAAAAUGUGAUUUUGUAUUUCCUUAAUUUAAACAGUCAUAUAUUAAAGUUAAGUUGCUCUUGUUCUACAUCCUGUAUCCUGUUUCUGCUUGUAUUUGUAAUAUUGGAAUUGAUAGUAAUAUAUUUUGGGAAAUGAUGCUAAAUUCCAUCUUCUUUUAAGAAAGACAAUAAUUUUGUUGUCUAAGAGACAAACUUUUGCAGGCUGAGAAGACAAUAACAAACCUGAGGGGAGAGAAUAGUGCAGCCAAUCUAUUGAGAGAGAAAUUUCUACAUGAAAUUGCUGUGGUGAGAAGGAAGCGUGCAUCUAGAGUUGAGGUUGGUUUUUCUAUCUUGUCUGUGGUCUGCGUGGCACUCGUUGGUACGUCACUCGGAUAUCUUUCGCGCUCAUUGGGUCCAUCGGGAAACUCGAGUAUGGAUUAGUAGCAUUAGAGUUAGACACUUUUUAAUUUGUUUCGAUGGUCUCUCCAUUGUGAAGCGUAAAAAAUUUCCUGUACAACUCGGUAAUUUAACCUCUCUCCAUGUGGAUGACCCAUGUAUGUGCAUGUAAAAGGCAAAUCUUGUUAUUACAUGUGUGGGGUUGGACGGUAUGUAUGUAUGUCUUGAUACAUUUUUUUGCAAAUCUAUCUUUGCUGGAUCGUUGGACUA